rnacentral:rRNA from 1 species
AACGAACGCUGGCGGCAUGCCUAACACAUGCAAGUCGAACGGGAUCCUAGCUUGCUAGGUGAGAGUGGCGGACGGGUGAGUAACACGUGGGAAUCUGCCUUUUGGUUCGGGAUAACCGCGGGAAACUGCGGCUAAUACCGAAUGCCCUCGAGAGAGGAAAGAUUUAUCGCCAGAAGAGGAGCCCGCGUCCGAUUAGGUAGUUGGUGGGGUAAAGGCCUACCAAGCCGACGAUCGGUAGCUGGUCUGAGAGGAUGAUCAGCCACACUGGGACUGAGAUACGGCCCAGACUCCUACGGGAGGCAGCAGUGGGAAUAUUGGACAAUGGGGGCAACCCUGAUCCAGCAAUGCCGCGUGAGUGAUG